AUGGAAAAGAGAAAAAAGCUCUACUGGACACCUUGUGGUGCACAUUGCUUCGACUUUAUGCUUGAGGAUUUUGAAAAGAAAAUUAAGAUGCAUGCCAUUACAAUCACAAAGGGACGUAAAAUCACUGCUUUCAUCUAUUCUAGGACUAUGCUUAUUGCAUGGUUGAGAGAAUUUACAGAAGGAAAGGAUUUGAUAAGGCCUGCUGUCAGAAGAUUUGCUACAGCUUACUUGACUCUGUCUUGUCUUGAGCAACAUAAAGGUGCACUGAUCAAUAGUUUUAGUUCAGUUAAAUGGAAGGCUAGCCGCUUUGCUUCUUUAAUAGAGGGUAAAAGAGUUCAAGAUAUUAUCAUGGACAGUAAAGGAUUUUGGCCUAAUGUUGUGGCAUGCUUGAGAGCUGCGAUGCCUCUAAUCAAGGUCCUUAGAAUGGUUUAUUCUGAUGACAAGCCAGCCAUGCCAUUUAUCUAUGCUCAGAUGGAGCAAGCAAAGGAGAGGAUAAAGGACAAUUUUAACAAAGUGAAGAAAAGGUACGUUUCAGACCAGAAUAACAUGAGUACGCACUUUUAUUCUAUUUAUCACUACUUUCUUUGUUUCACUGAUUUUUGUCCCAUAUUUUCAGUUAUAUUCGAAUAUGGAAUAUUAUUAAUGAAAGAUGGGAAACACAACUCCAGAGGCCUCUGCAUUCAGCUGCAUAUUAUCUGA
rnacentral:rRNA from 1 species